UGCUUUAGAUUGUAUUUAAACCUGCUCCAGCAUGGUCUGACAUUUCAGCGUCCUUUCAGCCGAUGCGACUUGUCGCUGAAAAGUCGCUUUUGAUAAAUUCAGCACCAAUGCAUUUUUCUGUCUAAAAUAGACUAGAAUGCAUCAUGUUCUAAAAAUCCUCUAAAGCAAAAGUCGCAGAAAAGUCGCACACAUUUAGACUGCAACUUUCUGUGCGGCAAAUUUAGACAGGAAAAAACUGUCUAAAUCCUUUGAUAAAUCUCUCCCAUUGAUCCUGAAAGUGUUAUUUAUUUUUUUGCACCCUUGGUCCCAGGCUGCUGUAUAUGUGAUAGGGGCUUAAAUGCACAGCAAAAAGGCAAGAACAAUGAAGAAAAAUGAAGCAAAUGAACGUCUUCUACUGUUGUCAGUCUGGAAGUGAUCACUCUGUAUAUGCCGCUACUGGGGACCAAUAGCUGUAGGUUCAGAAAGGUUUUAAGACCAUUGGGGCUAUCAUCCAAGACCAUUGGAAGAUCCUCCAACAUGACCCAAUUUUAAGAAAAAUCAUUCCAGAAAAACCUGGAUUCGCGUAUAGGAGAGCACCGACCAUUAAGAACAACAUCGCACCCAGCAAACUAAAAAAGAGGAAAAAGAGAGGGUAACAAGAAUCCCGAAUUAAAUAGAGGUUGCUUCAAAUGUAAGAACAAAUCAUGCAAAUUAUGUGCAAAUAUGAAAAAUAAAAUAACA